UUCAAAGAGGCUUUUCCUGAGCUUCGUACUUCAGGUCCUCCUAUCUCAGCGCCCUGUUUAUAUGCUCCGUGGCACUUAUUACAACCUAAUCUUUAUUUCCUUCUGUAUGAAAAGACUGGAUGACUCAGAAAAAGAGGCAGAGAAAAGAGGGAGGAAAUCACAGUGAAAUAUUUCAAGAAACGUUCCUAGAAAUGAUGAAGAGAACACCACGCCUAGUGUUUUACUGGGAAAUUUCAAACCAUUAAAUGAUGAAAGGAAAAUUCUAAAAUCUUCCAGACUGGAGGGAAAAAAUGGCGUACAAAGAAUCAGGAAUCAGAAAGGCUUUGGACUUCUCAAGAGCAAAACCAAAGUGAGAAAACAAUGCAUGAAUGUACAGAUGCAGCAAAGACAC